rnacentral:rRNA from 1 species
UACGGGGGGUGCGAGCGUUGUCCGGAAUCACUGGGCGUAAAGGGCGCGUAGGCGGUUUGAUAAGGGUGUGGUGAAAGUCCGGGGCUCAACCCCGGAUCUGCCGUGCCGACUGUCAAACUCGAGGGCUGUAGAGGCAGACGGAAUUCCGGGUGUAGCGGUGGAAUGCGUAGAGAUCCGGAGGAAGACCGGUGGCGAAGGCGGUCUGCUGGGCAGUAGCUGACACUGAUGCGCGACAGCGUGGGGAGCAAACAGG